rnacentral:rRNA from 1 species
UACAGAGGGGGCAAGCGUUGUUCGGAAUUACUGGGCGUAAAGGGCGCGUAGGCGGCCUCCUAAGUCGGACGUGAAAUCCCCGAGCUCAACUCGGGAACUGCGUCCGAUACUGGUUGGCUUGAAUCCGGGAGAGGGAUGCGGAAUUCCAGGUGUAGCGGUGAAAUGCGUAGAUAUCUGGAGGAACACCGGCGGCGAAGGCGGCAUCCUGGACCGGCAUUGACGCUGAGGCGCGAAAGCCAGGGGAGCAAACGGG